UACGUAGGGGGCAAGCGUUGUCCGGAUUUAUUGGGCGUAAAGGGUGCGUAGGUGGCGAGGUAAGUCGGAUGUGAAAGCUCGGAGCUCAACUCCGAAAUGGCAUUGGAAACUACCUUGCUCGAGGGUUGGAAGGGGGACUGGAAUACUUGGUGUAGCAGUGAAAUGCGUAGAUAUCAAGUAGAACACCAGUGGCGAAGGCGAGUCCCUGGACAACUCCUGACACUGAGGCACGAAAGCUAGGGGAGCAAACAGG
rnacentral:rRNA from 1 species